rnacentral:rRNA from 1 species
GACGUAGGUGGCGAGCGUUGUCCGGAAUUAUUGGGCGUAAAGGGCGUGUAGGCGGCCUGUCAAGUCAGACGUGAAAUCCCUGGGCUUAACCUUGGGACUGCGUUUGAUACUGAUGGGCUUGAGGACAGGAGAGGAAAGUGGAACUCCGUGUGUAGCGGUGAAAUGCUCAGAUAUACGGAAGAACACCAGUGGCGAAGGCGACUUUCUGGACUGUCCCUGACGCUGAGGCGCGAAAGCCAGGGGAGCGAACGGG